GACGAACGCUGGCGGCGUGCUUAACACAUGCAAGUCGAACGAUGAACCCGGAGCUUGCUCCGGUGGAUUAGUGGCGAACGGGUGAGUAACACGUGAGUAACCUGCCCUUGACUCUGGGAUAACUGCGGGAAACUGUAGCUAAUACCGGAUACGACCCUCGGCGGCAUCGCCAGGGGGUGGAAAGAAUUUGGGUCAAGGAUGGACUCGCGGCGUAUCAGCUAGUUGGUGAGGUAACGGCUCACCAAGGCGACGACGGGUAGCCGGCCUGAGAGGGGUACCGGCCACACUGGGACUGAGACACGGCCCAGACUGCUACGGGAGGAAGCAGUGGGGAAUAUUGCACAAUGGGCGAAAGCCUGAUACAGCAACGCCGCGUGAGGGAUGAAGGCCUUCGGGUUGUAAACCUCUUUUAGCAGGGAAGAAGCGAAAGUGACGGUACCUGCAGAAAAAGCACCGGCUAACUACGUGCCAGCAGCCGCCGCCG
rnacentral:rRNA from 1 species